AGAGGCAGGAUGCGAGGGCGGCCACAGGCGGCGUGGGAGAAGGAUGACGGUGGCAGUGUAGCGUCUCAGGAUGCCUUCCUCCACCACCACAGUUGUGGGUGCCAUGGCUGGCGAACGGAGCUCCUGGGCCAGCCUGACGACGCUGCAGAAGGUGGCUCUUGGCCUGGGGAUCCCUGCCAGUGGCGCCAUUCUUUACAUCCUCUACCGCCGCUACCGGGAAAGUCAAGAAGAACGCCUGACGUUUGUGGGGGAAGAGGAGAUCGAAGUGGAGAUGAAGGUCCCGAAGGAGGCUGUCAAAAUUCUCAUCGGAAAGCAUGGAGCCCAGAUCAAGAAGUUGAGGAGAGACACCCAUGCCCGCAUUGAUGUUGACGUGCAGGAGUCUGCUGAAGAGCGGCUGGUCAGGAUCUGUGGUUCCCCCAUUGAGGUGUGCAAGGCAAAAGCUGCCAUCCACCAAAUCUUGGCAGAGAGUUUGCCUGUGGUGGAGAAGAUCCAGGUGCCCCAGCGUGCUGUUGGCCGUAUCAUUGGCAGGGGUGGAGAGACAGUGCGGUCCAUCUGCCGGAGCACUGGGGCCAAGGUGGAAUGUGAACGGGAAACGGAAGCGGCUCUUUCCCUCACUCGUCUCAUCACGCUCUCUGGGACGCUGAAAGAGGUGCAGGCUGCCAAGCACCUGAUCACAGAGAAGCUCUCGGAAGAGGAAGAGUUUCAGAAGAAGCUGUCUGAGUCGGUGCAUGCCCGCUUUCUACGCAAGCAGCCACUCGGCAUGCGAAAGGAGGAAGAAGCCGCUGGGGACCAGCGAGGGCUGCCUUCCCUUGGCAGAGAACCUUCUGAGCAGCCCCCCAGGCCCUCGGGUCCGCCAGGGGCUGGAGAAAGGAUCCCGGAACAUCCCCCAGGUGAACCACACUCCCUAAGAAGCGAAGAAGGAUCCCCCGAAGACUCUGUGUCUGCAGCUUCUUGUCCAAGCUCUGCGUUUGAAGUCCCCAGCCCUGAUUUCAGCUUCCAUGCCAAUGAGUAUUUGGAGGUCUACAUCUCAGCCGCUGAGAACCCCAACCACUUCUGGAUUCAGAUCAUCGGCUCGCGGGUUCUGCAGCUGGACAAACUCACCCGCGAAAUGACCCAGUUCUACGAGAGUGACAGCAGCUGCCCUUCUCAACUCCUGGACGUGCAUGUGGGAGAUAUAGUGGCUGCCCACUACCCAGACGAUCUCUCCUGGUACAGAGCCAGAGUCCUCGGUGCCCUGGAAAAUGGGAACCUGGAUCUUUACUAUGUGGAUUUUGGUGACAACGGGGAGGCUCCCUUGGAGAACCUGCGGCCACUACGGAGCGACUUCCUGAGCCUCCCUUUCCAAGCCAUUGAGUGCAGCCUCGCCAGCAUUGCUCCAGCAGGAGAGCAGUGGGACGAAGCGGCCCUCGAUGCAUUCGACCGCCUCACCCAUUGUGCGGAGUGGAAGCCAGUGGUGGCCAAGAUCUCCAGCUACGUGCCUUCUGGAAGCACCACUUGGCCCCACGUGCGAUUGUACAACGUCACGGAUGGGCAGAAUGUCGAUGUGGGCGAAGAGCUGGUGCGCUUGGGCCAUGCAGUGCGGUGCCCACAGGAUGGAGAUGGUGCCAUGGGAGACGGACUCCACCGCUGGGACAAAGAGGCGGCUUCCGGUGUCCCCCCCAAAACCCUGGAGAACACGACGGGGAUGUCCCUAGAGAGUCUUCCCUUUGAUACCCAGAAAACUCCAGAUGAGAUGGCCCACACCCUCUCAUGCAUCAGCCUUUCAGAAGUUGCCUCCAUGUCUGAGAGUGGUGACGCCUUCCUGUUGGAAGAAGAUUCCUUGAAUGAAGUGAAUUCGAAAUCAUGAGCAUGUGCCUGAAAUACAGUAGACCUGCAGUGGGGAGAGGGAGCAAAUUCUUCAGCUUGGCUCACUGAAGAACACAAGAGUAUCUUGAUUUCUGCGCUGAGGAUUGGGGGGGGUGCCAUGGCGACAGCGGAGCUUGUGGGGAGGGUAGUGUCCUACCAUCAGCCACCAUUCCUUUCCAAGUGACACCAGUUGGACUUCACCCUCUAUUGCUCCCAGAAGGAUCUUUUCCCAAGUUGGACCCACACAUGCUGCCGUCCUAUGUUGUGUUUGGGGGUGUGGGGGGUAACAUGAGGCAGCAAUGAGUCUUUUUGGGAUGAAGAUCCAUUAAAGUGCCUGAGUGUGGGCUGAUUUUCUGCUUCCUCUUGAGGUGGGCACCCCUGUUAGCCCUGAAGGAGCUGGAAUGUAAACAUGAUAGCUUAAGGAUGUGUUGCCUCUCUGCCCGGGUGUCGGAAAGCUUAGAGGAUGAUGGAUCAACUUCCCUUUCCCUGUUUUAACAAAGAGAACCCCAUGACGUUGCUUUCUGCUUUGCCAAACUCAGUUGCCCUACAGAUGUUCUAAGGUGGGAGGUGACCAGCUGUAAUAACUUGGGUACGUUAACGUGGUAAUGGCCAAUUUCUACAUGAAGAAAAGUCACACACUGUAGCUUUACAUAGGCUGUACCCUGUCAGAUGGUAAAUGGAGGGAAUUAUAUGAUAUGAAUAACCCCCUGCCUAAUUUGGUCAACUUAAUUAUUUUCUAGGGACCGGGGUUGAGGCCUACCCAUUCUCCUCAGUGGGUUGAUUGUGAUGGUGGAGAGGUGUUUUUUUUUUAAAUACAGGGGCCCAUUCAGGUAUGUUGCCCUCCACCUGCAGACGCAAACAGCCCAGUCCAAUCACCCUGCACAAACCUGCAUGGCUUCAUGACUCCAUACAGGGGCUGGAGGUUGUGAGAAGCAGGAAUGGCACCUCCUCUCAAGGGAGCUGCUGUGCUAUGUUCCUUUCCGUGAAGGGUGCUGUUAGUUGUAUCCUGGUUAGAGCAGGACGUCGUUCUAUCCCUUCCAGUUUGGGGGAUCUGGUGGCAGGUAGUAUGUGAAGCGAGAAGAGGUUUCGCUGUGCUCACCCUCUUGUCUGGCCAGAGCCAUAUGUUGAAUGUAUGACUGAAGUUCCGUUUGUACAUUUUGUACUGUUUUGGUUUUCUUCUGAAUAAAGGCUUGUGUUUGAA